UUUAAUGGAUAAAAUCAAUGGAAUUGCAAGACUAACUAUGAAUGGUUCUGAGUUACAGCACCUUACAUGGAGUGAUGGAGACCAUCGAUGGAAGCAAGUCUAUGCUGCACCCAAAGUACGGUGUGAUUGGUAUGCACAUUGUGGUGCCAACAGCAAAUGUUACCCUGACAUAUUCGGUCUGUUUGAGUGUGACUGUCUACCCGGCUUUGAACCAAAAUCUAUCAAUGAGUGGAACCAGAAUGAUGGGUCAGAUGGAUGUGUGAGUAAACGAAAGGAAUUUUCUAAGUGUGGGAAUGGAGAAGGGUUUGUGCAGGUGACAAGAGUUAAAUAUCCAGACACAUCAAUAGCAGCUCGAGUGGCAGCACGCACGAAUAACAAAUUGUGUAGGCAGGAGUGCUUGGCAAAUUGUUCUUGCACAGCAUAUAUGAGCAUUGAAAAUGAAAAAGGUGUUGUUGAUUGUUGGACAUGGUAUGAUGAUUUGAUGGAUAUUCUUGUGUACACAGAGACGGGAAGAGAUCUAUAUGUUCGUGUAGAUCAAAUGGAAUUAGCUGCUGAGAGUGCUGGAAAAUCCAAAGGUUUCUUUAAAAGAAGGGGUAUGCUUGCCAUUCCUAUAUUCUUUGCUCUGCUAGCAUUGGUACUGAUCAUUAUGUGUGCCUGUUGGUGGUGUAAGAAAACAAGGAACACAGCAGAAAUUGUGGAGUCAGAUGAACUUGAGGAAACUAAGAGGCACCCCGAAUUGCAAUUUUUCGAUUUGAACACAUUGAUGGCAGCCACAGAUAACUUCUCUCCUGUCAAUGAACUCGGCCAAGGUGGUUUUGGCUCUGUUUAUAAGGGUCAGUUACCAAACGAGCAGAAGGUUGCUGUGAAAAGGUUGUCUAAAACAUCAGGACAAGGUACUGAAGAAUUCAAAAACGAAGUUGCACUUAUAGCAAGACUUCAACAUCGCAAUCUUGUAAAACUCUUAGGCUGUUGUAUUAAGGGGGAAGAACGGAUGUUAGUUCUAGAAUACAUGCCGAACAAAAGCUUGGACUCAUUUCUCUUUGAUCAGACAAGACGGUCCUUCUUGGAUUGGGAAAAGCGCUUUGAAAUCAUCAACGGGAUUGCUCGUGGGAUCCUGUAUCUUCACCAAGACUCAAGAUUGAGGAUUAUCCAUAGAGAUCUAAAGACUAGCAAUGUUCUUUUAGAUGCUGAAAUGAACCCGAAAAUUUCUGAUUUUGGCAUGGCAAGAAUAUUUGACAGGGACCAAGUUCAGGAUAAAACCAAUCGAGUUGUUGGAACAUAUGGCUACAUGUCACCAGAGUAUGCGGUGUUCGGCAGAUUUUCUACUAAAUCGGAUGUGUUUAGUUUGGGAUCAUAUUGUUAGAGGUUGUGAGUGGCAAAAGAAACAAUUAUUUUUCUCAAGAGGAUCCUUCCAUGAACUUGAUUAGACAUGUUUGGAACCUGUGGAGAGAAGACAGAGUCUUAGAAAUUGUGGAUUCAACUCUGGAGUUGUAUAAUUCUGAUGAGGUCAUGAGAUGCAUUCAAGUUGCGCUCUUGUGCGUGCAAGAAGAAUCAGAGGACCGGCCAGCCAUGUCUGCCAUUGUUUUCAUGUUGAGCGGCGAAACAUCUCCUCCAUCUCCUAACCAGCCUGCAUAUGUCAUCAGAAGAUACUCCGUCACUGAUGCUGAUCCAUCAUUAGUACCAACACCAUUUUAUUCUAUAAACGGCUUGACAAUAACUGGUGAAGAAGCUCGAUAAUGGUACAACUAGCUCUUUUUGUUUAGUUCAUUAUUAAAUUUACUGCUUUGCUAGGCAUGUCACUAUAAAAUCAUCAUUAAUCAGCUGACGAUUUGCAUUGCAAAGAAUAGAAGAUCAGAUUUUGCAUAAGAAAUGUUAGUUCAGGAGAUCAAAUAUAUGUUUCAUCGUUUUCCUUCUAUCGAAUGUAUUCAUUGCCCAAGGAAAUGUAAUCAUGCAGCGCAUAGAUUAUCUAGAUACGCGCUUUUGUUUCUUGCAUUUCAAGUUUUAGAGGAAGGAUCACAAUGGCGUUCCAAUGCUCUCCAACAUGAUGUUUCUCUUUGAUUCAUAUCAAUGAAGUAUUCCUUUCCC